AUUGAACGCUGGCGGCAGGCCUAACACAUGCAAGUCGAACGAGUGGCGGACGGGUGAGUAAUGUCUGGGAAACUGCACGAUGGAGGGGGGUAACUACUGGAAACGGUAGCUAAUACCGCAUACCAUCGGAUGUGCCCAGAUGGGAUUAGCUAGUAGGUGGGGUAACGGCUCACCUAGGCGACGAUCCGUAGCUGGUCUGAGAGGAUGACCAGCCACACUGGAACUGAGACACGUUCCAGACUCCGUCGGGAGGCAGCAGGGGGGAAUAUUGGACAAUGGGCGCAAGCCUGCUGCAGCCAUGCCGCGUGUAUGAAGAAGGCCUUCGGUUUGUAAAGUACUUUCAGCGAGGAGGCGUUACCCGCAGAAGAAUCACCGGCUAACUCCGUGCCAGCAGCCGCGGUAAUAC
rnacentral:rRNA from 1 species